rnacentral:rRNA from 1 species
GACGUAGGAUGCAAGUGUUAUCCGGAAUCACUGGGCGUAAAGCGUCUGUAGGUGGUUUAAAAAGUCCACUGUUAAAAAUUGAAGCUUAACUUCAAAGAUGCCGUGGAAACUUUUAAACUUGAGUAUGGUAGGGGUAGAGGGAAUUUCCAGUGGAGCGGUGAAAUGCGUAGAUAUUGGAAAGACCACCAAUGGCGAAGGCACUCUACUGGGCCAUUACUGACACUGAGAGACGAAAGCUAGGGGAGCGAAUGGG